GGACCCGCACAAGUAGUGGAGCAUGUGGUUUAAUUCGAUGAUACGCGAGGAACCUUACCAGGGCUUAAAUGCAGAGCGACAGGGGUGGAAACACCCCCUUCUUCGGACGGACUGCAAGGUGCUGCAUGGUUGUCGUCAGCUCGUGCUGUGAAGUGUCGGGUUAAGUCCCAUAACGAGCGCAACCCCCAUUUCUAGUUGCCAGCGGUUCGGCCGGGGACUCUAGAGAAACUGCCAGCGUAAGCUGUGAGGAAGGUGGGGAUGACGUCAAAUCAUCACGGCCCUUACAUCCUGGGCCACACACGUGCUACAAUGGUAGGGACAACAGGUUGCCAACCCGCGAGGGUGAGCCAAUCCCAAAACCCUAUCUCAGUUCGGAUCGGAGUCUGCAACUCGACUCCGUG
rnacentral:rRNA from 1 species